rnacentral:rRNA from 1 species
UACGUAGGGUGCAAGCGUUAAUCGGAAUUACUGGGCGUAAAGCGUGCGCAGGCGGUUGUGCAAGACAGAAUCGGUGAAAUCCCCGGGCUUAACCUGGGAACUGCAUUUGUGACUGCACGGCUGGAGUGCGGCAGAGGGGGAUGGAAUUCCGCGUGUAGCAGUGAAAUGCGUAGAUAUGCGGAGGAACACCGAUGGCGAAGGCAAUCCCCUGGGCCUGCACUGACGCUCGAUGCACGAAAGCGUGGGGAGCAAACAGG